GGACGUGCGCCGAAAGUGAACUGUCAAACGCGAAGAUGGCCGCUACCACUGAAAUAUUAAAGUCUCUCGCCGCGAGAGCGAUUUGCCAAAAGAAAAUGUAGAAUUUCCCGGCCCAGAGACGCGUCCCAGGUAAUUUCCGAGCACGUAGCCGCGAGCGGCGACGCGACGCGCACCUGUCACUCGUUGCACCCCGUUGCAAUCGACAUUCGUGGGCGGUUUCGUGAUGGGUGGUACGCGCGCGCGUGUGCGUGUGUGCAUGUGUCGAGUGUGUGUGAUGCGCGUAUGAAUGUGUACGCGUGUAUGUCGAUCCGCGCUGUGCUGUGUGUGAUACCUCGUCGUCAGCCUGACGUUUUGAGAGCGGACGGACGGACGUAAAUAUCGAGCCGGAUGCUCGCUGUAUGGACGUAUGGCGGGAUGUCAUUGAUCCGUACAUGUUGACCGCCGGUCAAGAUCGGCCGAGAGCUCUUGACCAGACGUUAACGACGACGACGCAGCAGCAGCAGCAGCGGCAGCGGCGACAGCAACGGAGCUCUCCGAUGUCGGAGCGAUCGUUCCGCGCGAAGUCGUAACCAUUUUCGUCGCGCUCCAUGCUGUCUGACAUGUUAACACUCGCAAUUUAAUCUAAGAGAACACUGUUUUCUGAAAACACUAGAGGGAUAAGAGACACACCGUGGUUAAGGAUGAACUCCAAACUUUUUCAGCAAAUCUUAAGUAUGAACAUAAUGCGCAAAUUACGAGGGGGUACCAGCGUCGGAGGUAUGGGCUCGAGCGGUACCGGCGGUCUGGAUGAUUGCGCUGGGGGCGCCAAUCCUCAGCACACUGCUCUGGGGCUUAUGCACCUGAAGAAGUUGUUUUCCGAGUAUACACAUCCAUCUCACCCACUCUCUGAUGCUGAACGUGAUGACAAAUUGUACAACAUGUUGCCAUUGUUUUGCAAGGUAUUUGGAUCUAGUCCAUCGGGAGAUAUGAAUGAAAAGUUUUGGGACAUUUUAGCGUUCACGCAACAAGUUUCAAGAUUGAUGGUAUCAGAAAUUAGGAGGAGGGCGAGCAAUCAGAGCACCGAGACGGCGAGUUGUGCCAUUGUAAAGUUUUUAGAGAUUGAGAACAGCGAGGAGUCGAGUAAUGGCUGGAUGCUGUUGUCUGCAUUGAACCUGUUAGCAGCGGGAGAUACUUCUUUGAUACAAGCCAUGACCGCUGCCUCGGUUCCAUCGACUUUGGUGAAAUGUUUGUACCUCUUCUUCGAUCUGCCCGAGAUGAACGAAGAGGACGCUGAUAUUACAGACGCAAAUAGUGAAUUUACUCCUAGAGAACGUAGGAUACUAUUACAAAAAAUAUUUGUUCAGCUGUUGGUGAGAUUAUGUAGUCAUCCGUAUCCCGCGGAGGAACUUGCUCGUAAGGACGAUCUCACCUUACUGUUCUCAGCAAUAACCAGUUGGUGUCCGCAAUAUAAUGUUAUGUGGCGUAAGAGUGCCGCGGAAGUGUUAAUGACCUUGUCUCGUCAUGGUCUUACGCAGAACGUAGUAGCCUACAUACAUAAUAAAGGAUGCAUAGCACUCUGUAUUGAUAAUAUGCAACGUGUACCUGAGCUGGCACCAUUAGAAGUUGUAGAAAUGUUCGUGACAGUGUUCUGUUUUCUAAAGGAUUCCAGUGAGGUUUCUCAGACAUUGCUAGACGACUUUCGCGCUUGUCAAGGCUAUAUCUUCUUAUCUGAGUUUCUGUUAAAACACGCGCCUUCGCGAUUAGAGCAAGACAAUAGAGCGGAAGCGCAAGAUGCAAUUCGAAAUUUGGUACUAAUGUUAGCGUCUUUGACAAUGUGUGGUCACACGGAACUAAAACCAAGUCAGGCUAGCAUGGGGUCUCUGUUUCAAAUGCUUGGAUUCUCCUUACCACAGCCCAGUAACAGAGGAGGAAGCGUUCGAAACAUUCAAGCAUUCCAAGUAUUGCAGUCAGUGUUCGUGAAAUCCAAUUCGCCGCUGUUGUGUUGCACUAUACUAGACGCUAUAUCCAGCGUGUACCACAGCGACAACGCGAAUUACUUUAUUCUCGAGGGGCAAAAUACCUUGUCUCAGUUCGCGGAGAAAAUCCAUCUGAAAAAUCCGGAGAUACAGGAGAAGUUUUUUCAGCUGUUGGAGUUCAUUGUUUUCCAGCUGAAUUUUGUACCGUGCAAGGAACUUAUAUCGCUGUCUAUUUUACUGAAAACCAACAAUUCAGUUUCUUGCAGUAUCAUGUGUAUGGAAACUCUUCUCAAUAUACUCAGACACAACACUAUAUUUAAAGACGUUUACAGAGAAGUUGGUAUGCUAGAGGUCUUCGUGACGUGUCUUCAUCGAUACGCAACAUUACUCAAGGACAAGCAAGCCGCAGUCGAUCAAGGAUUAGAGUACAUAAUAUGUCCGGAAGAUGAACGUUUGGGUGCCUUAGUAAUGGAGGCUUUAACAACACUGUUAGCGAGUAAUGUUCAAAACGCGAACGUCUUUAGGGAGUGCGGAGGCGCACGUUGCGCCCAUAAUCUAGUGCCCUAUGUGGAUUGCCGGUACCAAGCGCUCGGUAUUGUGAGAGAAUUAAUACUCAGUGCGGGCGGUGACGACGACAUGGCGACGUUGUUGGGAGUUAUGCAUUCUGCUCCUCCUAAUGCCUUGAUCUUAAAGACACACAUACUAAAAUCUCUAUUAGCUUGUCUACGAGAAUCGCACAGGACCAGAACAGUCUUUCGGAAAGUAGGGGGUUUCGUAUACGUGAUGUCCGUAUUGGUGUCUUUGGAGGGUCAAUUAGGCGCGCAGAGGUCGGAGAACGCCGAGCCUUGCAAUGAUAUCGUGCAGAGGACUAUGCAAGAUGAGAGCCAAUUGCUAAUACUGUUAUACGUAGUGUUUCACACCAUAAGCACGGCUAUGCGAUUCGAGCCGGCAAACGCAAAAUUCUUCCAUCAUGAGAUCUGCCAAUCCAGCUUAUGUGAUACCUUGCGCCUCCUCGGGUGUUUCUCCACGCAAACGAAACUGAUCGAGAUGGAUAUGAUACCGACUAUGAAUUACCACAACAUGUUGGUAUCGUUGUUUACUGGAAGCGUGCUAGAACCGGUCUUUCCGGACGAUAUGCCAAAGACGUUAGGCUACGCGUGCUUAUUACUGCGCUUGCUCUACGACGUGGCACUAGAUUCUUUCGACAAACCAAAUCUAGUUAAUGUAGGAAUAAGAUCCCCGAGUCACAAGCAGAACAACGUGGAGCAACAAAAGUCGUUCGACUCUCCUGGUAGCGGCAAGAGAUGCAUCAUAAACUCCUUGAACCUGAGUCCACCCGCGCCCGAGCCGAUCGUGAUUCAUCCCGGCAUAGUCGUGGGAAUGCUUCACCUGCUCCCGUCUAUAUCCGAGCCGUCUAAUCCGCAAAUGGCACUAGCGUUGCAACUGUACGUAGCGGAGAUCAUCAAGAGCUUAGUACGCUCGGAGAGGAACCAGCAAGUGAUGUGCGAAGCCGGUAUGGCUGGCGAUCUGUUGUCUGUAGGCAGAACCGCUCUGCAAGACGAAACUCAUCCGCUCCAUCAGCCUCUACAGUACAUCAUAGAGAGACUCGCGGCUCAGUCGCUCGAACCAAGAGACUUGAGGGAGUUCCUACGUUUAGGCGAUCCGUUGUGUUGCAUUUCACUGGACGAUAUCGAGCCGAACAAACCCAGGGGAGGACCUGUCCCUCUAACGCGCAUUAAGACGUUGGUGUCGAUGACGACACCGAAAGACUUUAGAGCUCACGGUUCCUGCACUUUACCACCUUUCGUGGAACUGGAUAUGAGUGCGGAGGGAUUCGCGUGCUUGUAUCUACCGAGCGUUGCCCCGCAGAGCACCACUCCACCUACGGUAGUCGCCGCAGACAACAGUGUUUUGGGUGGGAUUGGAUCAGGCGAUAGAUUAUUCCCACCACAGACCGGCUUAACAUACAGCACGUGGAUAUGCGUUGACAAAUUUAGCGAUCCUAGAACUGAUCCUCAUUGCGUGAGAUUACUCACACUAGUGCGUACCCCACAAUCUGCACAACCUGCGAAAGAUUUAAUAUGUCUGACCGCUGUUCUUAGCGCUAGAGAUAAAGCUAUUAUCGUUUCCACUCAGGAAACACUUAUCUCCCAAAAUUCAGGCGAAUGGGAGCCCGAAGGUACGGGCGAAUGCGGUGCUAGGGUUUGGUGUCCGGACUUGCUGCAUGAAGGACAAUGGCAUCAUAUAGCGAUUGUGCUUAAUCGUGCGGUUCUUAAGAACUCUAGUUUCUCUUUGUACUUGGAUGGGCAACAUAUCCACAGCCAGAAGCUUCAUUACAUCUCGCAAGUCGCCGGAGGUGGAGCGGCCAACUUGACUGUGGCCUCCCCGGUGUACGGUUACAUCGGUACACCACCUUGCUGGCGCCGAUAUUCUAGAUUGACAUGGAAACAAGGUCCGUGCCAUUUGGUGGAGGAAGUGUUCAAUUCUCAAAACAUCGCUACUUUGUUCAAAUUAGGACCACAUUAUAUGGGAAGCUUGCAAGCUCCUCAAUUGAGCGGUCCUGAGCCUUUAAUGGCUCUCGUGGGCGAGGAAAAGGUUGUGUUUGGUCUGAAUGCUAAGGCCAUGUCGCAAUUGACUUUAGCUAAAAUUAGGAAGGUCUACAGUCGAGCUGAUAACAAAUCAAUCGCCAAACAGCUUGGCAUGUCAUCCCAUGAAAAUGCCACUCCUAUCAGAGUUCUUCAUAAUUCCGCGGGACACCUUAGUGGUCCGGCGAGAGCGUUAGGAGGUGUAGUUGUUGGUUAUCUCGGUGUUCGUGUAUUUAGUCCUAAACCCGUAGCUACUAUGAUCGACAACGUAGGAGGAUGUUCAGUGUUAUUAGGUUUGAUAGCUAUGGCCCAAGAUGUAGAAUCUCUGUAUGCAGCUGUGAAGGCGCUAGUUUGCGUAGUGAGAUCCAACCAAGCAGCUCAACAAGAGAUGGAUCGCAGGAGAGGAUAUCAGACACUAGCCAUGCUAUUGAGAAGAAAGUGUCCUCUGCUGAACAGUCAUAUAUUGCAUUUGACAUUCAGUCUCGUGGGGACGGUCGAUAGCGGCAGAGAAACCAGCGCGAUUCCUAACGUUACAGCGUUCCAGGACCUCUUGUGUGACUUGCAAGUUUGGCACGAAGCACCCGGAGAAUUACUGAGGUCUCUCCUCGAACACUUGUACGAACUGAUAGCGGAAUCUAGCGAGAAACGGACUAAUUUGCGAUUGAUGAGAGACUUACAGUUGGUACAUAAAUUACUGCACAUUUUAGGCGAAGUGAAACUAGGUAGCACGAGGCAGAUCCUUUUGGCGCUCCUCAGCAUAUUACUGAGCCAACCACGACAAGCUGAUUUACUAUGGUUCGGACAAUUCAUCGUAGCUACCUUACCGUUAUGUCCCGAAAAACAUCUAAUCCUUCGAGAAGGAGAGGGAAUUAAGGAUGGGGAAGGCGAGAACAUACUUCUACGUAAUCGUUGUUUACAGCUUUUACACUCGUUGUUGUUUAACGGAUCCAAAGUUAACGCAAAAAUGUGUGAGGAGGUAGCCACGGUUUUGGGCCUAGAUUGGGUGCUGUUGUUCCUCCAGUCUGGUCUUCACAGCACCACGGUUGUCUGGGGAUUACGUAUACUCGUUGCGGUGUGCUCGGUGCAAUCGAUCUUGCAGAAAUUCAAGGAAGGAACGAGCAACGGGGGUUGGCUACGACAUACCGACCACAACAAAAUGGCACUAGCACUCGGUUGUCAUCAGCAAAUGUCCACUGGUGAGAUUAAGCCAUCCGGGCUCCACGUGCCGGGUUUUCAGCACCUAGGCUGGUUGCUUCCGCAACAUAUCGAUCUCGUCCCGGAACUUUAUUUUCUCUUCAUCGCUCUCAUGAUGGGACAACCCGUAAAAUUGCUGCCUACUGAUUCGAAACUCGAUUUAGACAAUGUGUGGAAUUUCAUGUUCGGAGUCCCGGCAAAUCACACGUUGUCGUCGUUCGCUAGUAGAAUUAAUCUGUGUCCCGAGGCGGUGGUCACGUUACUGGCAAUGGUGCGGACUAUGUUGAACAGUCACUCAAACAACCCCGAAAUGCUACCAGCUUGGCUGAACGAUUAUCCUGUGACAAUAAUACAAUUCCUGUUCUUCCUCUACCACAAUUUCACCGAUUUCAUGCAAGUCUUUAUGUCCGCGGAAGUUCUGGGUGCCUUAGCUGGGACCUUGUUUCCGAAACCUGCGAGUUCUAGUCAAGACAGCAGCGGCGCCAGUACCCCGGCUGACGAGCAAGAGCCGGUGUUAGUGAGAUCGCCGUCGAAGGAUGUCGGACUGACGAACCACCCGGCGAAGAAGUUUGUGAUGGAUUUUCUACGGGUCAUCGUCGUCGACUCCCUCUCGUUACCGGUAACAGCGAAGUCGCCGCCGGCGAUUGAUCUAGUACUGGAAGCGUGGCCGGAACAUGCGUCGACAGGCCAGCAGAUGCGUUAUCAGACGGAGGUAUUAUCUAUAUUGAUGGAACAUCUGUUGGCCGCAGAUGUGCUCAUAGGAGAGCAAGCCGCGUUGCCGGUCGUUCCCGGUGGAUCAGUUAAUAAUAUCACCAACAACGUUUGCUACGUGGCAGCCAGAAUAGUCGACAAACUGUGGCAAGGUGCUCUGACGAAAGACCCGCACGAAGUGUUUGAUUUCAUCGUGAAACUGAUCGGUCAAGCGAAAAGGCGACCCGGUGCUGUCAGCAUGGAAGGCCUUCAUCACUGCCUGAAUAGGACGAUCUUAUUCUUACUGUCACGCGCGACAGACUCUAUCGCCGAUCAAAUGGCCGUAUUAGAGGCGUUACAUAAGCUUACUACUCAUAGAUUAUUAGUGUUCGGUGCUGGCAAUCAUGAAUUGGAAUUCAUUGGCUGCCUGACAUAUUGCCUGCUACAACUGACGGCCGACAUAAAAAUCAUGUUGGACACUAACAUGAAAACGACAUGGCAUGUUAAUCCGCAAGUGGAAUCUAGCGACGACAGAUUAACAUCUCAUCAAGGACACAACUUAAUGGCCGUAGCGGCGACGAGAGUCUGGGAGGAGCUGUACGUAUGUAAGAAACCGGCUAUAGAGGAAGUCUUCAAGGUGACUUUGUCGACACCGGUGGGUAACGAACGGGCUCCGGAAUUAUCGCUCGUGAGGGAGCAGGUGCACGAAGCCGCGUCGAAGCUUUGGCUGAAUUAUGUGGUUUUAGAAAGAAGAGCUUCGUACAGAGUUCCGUGGGAGCUUCAUAAUCAGAUCCAGUCGAAAAUCCAAAAAGUGACCGGAGGAUUGACGAGAUUAGCGAGUAGGACGAAGGUACGGAAAGAGGAGUCUGUGCGAGUGAGACUCAGAUUGCAUCAGAACACUGUUGCUCAGUGGACGGAGCAGCAUGUCGCGCUGGUCAGGGAACUCGCCGCAGUGAGACGUUUGCAGCACCAGCAGACCAAUCUACACACACAACGUUACGUGUAUCAAGAAUGGUUGCAAACCGAGACGGAAUUGACGAGAGAACGCGGCCUUUGGGGAUCCCCGACAUCUACCAAGCUUGACAAAUGGAUGUUAGACAUGACGGAGGGACCGUGCAGAAUGCGAAAGAAAAUGAUGAAGAAUGAGCUCUUUUACAUACAUUAUCCGUAUCGGCCUGAAUUAGAGCACCCUGAUAACAAACAGCUAAAGUACAAAGUAGCGACAAGCAUGGACAGCAAGGAGUACUACCUGAAACAGCUCGGCAACUCGUCGGGAAUGUUCGAGCGUGAACGAGACCCUGUUAUAGACGACACACCAUUAAACGUCAACGAGGCUUCAACCGAGAGCGAGCCGCCGAUUGUUCCAUGCACGUUGGAACGCCACGCCAGUGAACCAGAUGAGGCGCCCGAAGAUAACGAACAGGAGGAGGAGAAUAAUCAGACUGUUCCAGACAAUCAAACUUUAUUACGUCUACUCGAGGAACACGAGAAGAUAAGUCACAUGUUCAGAUGCGCGCGAAUACAGGGUUUGGACACGACCGAGGGUAUUCUCCUGUUCGGGAAGGAGCACUUCUACGUGAUCGAUGGAUUCACAUUGUUGAAGACCAGAGAGAUCAGAGACAUUGAGAGUUUGCCGGAAGCUUAUGAGCCAAUCUUGCCGUCGCCGGGAUCUCCGAGGAGAUCCAGGGCGAUGAGACAGUGCUCCAAGUUCAAUUACGAGGAUAUCAGGGAAGUACACAAGAGACGAUACUUGCUGCAACCUAUGGCGUUGGAAGUGUUCAGUGGUGACGGUAGGAACUACCUACUCGCAUUCCCGCGGAAAGUAAGGAACAAGGUCUAUCAGAGAUUCAUGAACGUCGCCACCGCGAUAGCCGACAGUGCCCAGCAAUCCGUGGCUGGUCAAAAACGUACAGCCAAUGUCGAACAAGCCACUGGUCUGCUCUCAAAUCUCAUCGGAGAAACCUCGGUCACUCAGAGAUGGGUGAGAGGAGAAAUAUCGAAUUUCCAAUACCUGAUGCAUCUGAACACUCUGGCGGGUCGCAGUUACAACGAUCUCAUGCAAUACCCAAUCUUCCCAUGGAUCUUGGCUGAUUAUGACACCGAGGAGCUCGACUUCAUGGACCCGUCGACGUUCCGGGAUUUCAGCAAGCCUAUGGGCGCUCAGAGCCCUGAGCGAUUGCUGCAAUUUAAGAAGAGAUACAAAGAAUGGGAUGAUCCGCACGGAGAGACUCCACCUUAUCAUUACGGUACUCACUAUUCCUCCGCGAUGAUAGUAUGCUCGUAUCUAGUGAGGAUGGAACCGUUUACGCAACAUUUUCUCCGACUGCAGGGCGGCCACUUUGAUUUGGCCGACAGGAUGUUCAAUAGCGUAAAGGAAGCGUGGCUGUCAGCCUCAAAGCACAACAUGGCAGACGUGAAAGAACUUAUCCCGGAGUUCUUUUAUUUACCAGAAUUUCUUGUCAAUUCGAAUCACUUUGAUUUAGGUUCUAAGCAGAGCGGUGUUCAACUCGGUGAUAUUGUUCUUCCACCUUGGGCGAAGCAGGAUCCUCGUGAAUUUAUUCGCGUGCACAGACUCGCGCUGGAAUGCGAUUACGUGUCGCAGCAUCUCCAUCAAUGGAUUGACCUGAUAUUCGGUUGUAAGCAAAACGGACCAGCAGCUGUCGAAGCUGUCAAUGUAUUCCAUCAUCUGUUUUACGAAGGCAACGUCGACAUUUACAAUAUCGAUGAUCCGUUGAAGAAGAACGCGACUAUCGGUUUCAUCAAUAACUUUGGCCAAAUACCCAAGCAACUGUUCAAAAAGCCGCACCCAGCGAAGAAGAUGUCGCAGAGGACCAGUGUUAUAGACCCCGGGCCGAUCACCCCUGGUCUCAGCAUCACCACAUCCGACAAGUUGUUCUUCCAUAAUCUCGAUAAUUUGAAACCUUCGUUACAGCCCAUCAAAGAACUGAAGGGUCCGGUCGGACAGAUAUUGCACGUGGACAAGGCUGUGCUGGCAGUGGAGCAAAACAAGACGCUUAUCCCGCCGUCUUAUAAUAAAUACGUGGCAUGGGGAUUUGCCGAUCAUUCUCUCAGAAUAGGCAACUACGACAGUGACAAGGCUAUCUUCGUCGGCGAGGCGAUGAUGCAGAGCAGCGGCGAGAUAGUAGCAUGCGUUUGUCCGUCUUCCAAGUUGAUAGUUACUGCUGGCACCAGCUCUGGAGAUCGCUCUUCAAUUCGGAGGACUGGUAUUGAUUUUCUAAAGCACAGCUGGCCAGAUCAUCCCAGUUGACUGCCAAUCAAAAGACGGGCAACACCACAUACUGUAGCGCAUAACAUUACCCCUCCUCUUCAAGAAUUGUCAUCCUGACAAUUUAUUUAGGAAAAACGUUUCUUCUUCAAUUUCAGGAGUCUUUAUGGCUUUUGUCCUACCCUGAUCUACUGCUACAGGUUACCAGACUUCAUAAAUCUAUGAUUCCAAUUGAAGACUCUUGAUGACUUUAUUUUCGAUUCCAGAGUAUCAACUCUAUUUACGUCCUCCAGGAGGUGAUCAGCUUCCAAGACGUUUCCAGAGUAAUCCCUAGUCGAAACAGACAUCCCACGACGUUCUCUUCUUCCCUGACAUUAGGUCUUCGGACAAAGGGGGGAGUGACUCCCGUGGACCCAAACGUCCUUCAUGAGGACAUCCCGAGUCCUUGCUUUGACAUUCGUCCUGGUAUUACAGCUUCACGGGAAACCAUGGUUCAAAAACCGUGAGAGAAGCAGUCUUUAUAGGAAUCCUCUUCUCGAUGAAAUAGAAUCGAAUGCCAGGGUGAUGAAGUUAACAGAGGAUCCUAAAUUUUUUGAAAUCACACAUCACGAAGCAAGAUAGUAUUGACUAUAUGCGAGAAAUCCCGAAUUCAAAUCCUGGACGAGCCCCUAAAAUGUUACUAGUAUGGACAAUACUUGAAAACACAAUCGCCACACGUCAGCCUACUACGAUGGCUCGUGUGCGACUCUCCGUCUUUUAUUAUUGAUUCGUUGUCCAGCGAGAGAUCGCUCUUCAAUUCGAAGGACCGGUAUUGAUUUUCUAAAGCUGAUCAAAUCGUCCCAGCUGACCGGCAAUCAAAAGAUGGGCGACACCAUAUAUCGUGGCGCAUAACAAUAUUAUAUCUUUA
rnacentral:misc_RNA from 1 species